UGGGGAAUUUUGGACAAUGGGCGAAAGCCUGAUCCAGCAAUGCCGCGUGUGUGAAGAAGGCCUUCGGGUUGUAAAGCACUUUUGUCCGGAAAGAAAUCCUUGGCUCUAAUACAGUCGGGGGAUGACGGUACCGGAAGAAUAAGCACCGGCUAACUACGUGCCAGCAGCCGCGGUAAUACGUAGGGUGCAAGCGUUAAUCGGAAUUACUGGGCGUAAAGCGUGCGCAGGCGGUUUGCUAAGACCGAUGUGAAAUCCCCGGGCUCAACCUGGGAACUGCAUUGGUGACUGGCAGGCUAGAGUAUGGCAGAGGGGGGUAGAAUUCCACGUGUAGCAGUGAAAUGUGUAGAGAUGUGGAGGAAUACCGAUGGCGAAGGCAGCCCCCUGGGCCAAUACUGACGCUCAUGCACGAAAGCGUGGGGGAGCAAACAGGAUUAGAUACCCUGGUAGUCCACGCCCUAAACGAUGUCAACUAGUUGUUGGGGAUUCAUUUCCUUAGUAACGUAGCUAACGCGUGAAGUUGACCGCCUGGGGGAGUACGGUCGCAAGAUUAAAACUUAAAUGAAUUGACGGGGUCAUAGCUGUUUCC
rnacentral:rRNA from 1 species